GCUGGUUCCAAGUCAUUCCUUCAAUUACAACAUGAAUUGAAAAUGAAAUAAGGUUCUGAUGUUGGUCCGGUGGAUUUGUUCCGCGAGAAUCAUUACAAUGAAAAGGAUGGAUGGGUGAAUGAUAAUGCAGAAGAUGCAUAUGAGAACAUGCAAAAUUUGAUUAAAGCACCAACGGAAGAAGGAUGUGAACCAAUAACGCUACCAGAGGCUUGUAGAAAAGUUUUAGGUGAUCAACAAGACCAUGUUAAAGGUCUUGGUUAUGGCCCACAACCCACCCCGUGCAGAAGAGGCUCAUAAUCUAAUGUGACGUCUUCUACCUUGUAAGAAAAUGAGUUGGAAAAGAAACUAGAGGACAUGGAAGUUGAGAUGAGAGAGAUGAAGACAGAAAAUCAAAGAUUGAAGGAGUCAAUGUCAACGUGGGAGGAUAAAUGAAAUGAGAUCUCAAGGAUUAUGGCUGGGUUUAUGGCUGGAAGGCAAGGAGAUGGACCAUCGAACAACUAGAAAUACCGAGGUGAAAGGAAAUUUUGAAGCCUCAUAUUGGAGUUAAACACUUAAAAUGACAUUUUUUUUUGUAUUGGUGUCAUUUUGGAGGCUCAAUUGAAGCUGAACACUUGAAUAUCAUUUUUUUUUUUAGUGGUGGAGGCUCAUUUUGUAGUGAAACUAACUUGGAAGUGGG